UGGGGAAUUUUGGACAAUGGGCGCAAGCCUGAUCCAGCCAUUCCGCGUGCAGGAUGAAGGCCCUCGGGUUGUAAACUGCUUUUGUACGGAACGAAACGGCGCCCUCUAAUACAGGGUGCUAAUGACGGUACCGUAAGAAUAAGCACCGGCUAACUACGUGCCAGCAGCCGCGGUAAUACGUAGGGUGCAAGCGUUAAUCGGAAUUACUGGGCGUAAAGCGUGCGCAGGCGGUGAUGUAAGACAGAUGUGAAAUCCCCGGGCUCAACCUGGGAACUGCAUUUGUGACUGCAUCGCUGGAGUGCGGCAGAGGGGGAUGGAAUUCCGCGUGUAGCAGUGAAAUGCGUAGAUAUGCGGAGGAACACCGAUGGCGAAGGCAAUCCCCUGGGCCUGCACUGACGCUCAUGCACGAAAGCGUGGGGAGCAAACA
rnacentral:rRNA from 1 species